ACGGUGCCCUUCUCUCCUUCUCUAGGUAUUCCAUCUGGAGAUACUCACCACCCAUCUAUCUAACCCUAUAUCAGUUCUCUUUAUACGACGAUGACGAUGACAACCUAACUCUAGUCUAACAGAGUAUUUGCGACUAGAGGGCACACUCCUUAAGAAGCCAAAGUAAUCAUGGAUUGACUGGGGGCAAGGAACUAAUGUCCACACUGGAAUGCUUCAGGGCUUGACCCUC
rnacentral:lncRNA from 1 species